rnacentral:rRNA from 1 species
GCUACGGGAGGCAGCAGUGGGGAAUAUUGGGCAAUGGGCGCAAGCCUGACCCAGCAACGCCGCGUGAAGGAUGAAGGUUUUCGGAUUGUAAACUUCUGUCGCGAGGGACGAAGAAUGACGGUACCUCGUAAAAAAGCCCCGGCUAACUACGUGCCAGCAGCCGCGGUAAUACGUAGGGGGCAAGCGUUGUCCGGAAGGACUGGGCGUAAAGGGAGUGUAGGCGGCCUUGCAAGAUAGAUGUGAAAUCCUAGGGCUUAACCGGAGAACGGCAUAUAAAACUGUGAGGCGGGAGUGCAGGAGAGGUGAGUGGAAUGCCAAGGGUAGCGGUGGAAUGCGUAGAUAUUAGGAGGAACCCCAGAGGCGAAGGCGACUCACUGGACUGUAACUGACGCUGAGGCUCGAAAGCGUGGGGAGCAAACAGGAUUAGAUACCCUUGUAGUC